AGCGAACGCUGGCGGCAGGCUUAACACAUGCAAGUCGAACGGGCACUUCGGUGCUAGUGGCAGACGGGUGAGUAACACGUGGGAACGUACCUUUCGGUUCGGAAUAAUUCAGGGAAACUUGGACUAAUACCGGAUACGCCCUUUUGGGGAAAGACUUAUCGCCGAUAGAUCGGCCCGCGUCUGAUUAGCUAGUUGGUGAGGUAAAGGCUCACCAAGGCGACGAUCAGUAGCUGGUCUGAGAGGAUGAUCAGCCACAUUGGGACUGAGACACGGCCCAAACUCCUACGGAAGGCAGCAGUGGGUAAUAUUGGACAAUGGGCGCAAGGCUGAUCCAGCCAUGCCGCGUGAGUGAUGAAGGCCUUAGGGUUGUAAAGCUCUUUUGUCCGGGAAGAUAAUGACUGUACCGGAAGAAUAAGCCCCGGCUAACUUCGUGCCAGCAGCCGCCGUAAUAC
rnacentral:rRNA from 1 species